UACGGGAGGAGCAGUGGGGAAUAUUGCACAAUGGGCGCAAGCCUGAUGCAGCCAUGCCGCGUGUAUGAAGAAGGCCUUCGGGUUGUAAAGUACUUUCAGUCGUGAGGAAGGUGUUAAGGUUAAUAACCUUAGCAAUUGACGUUAGCGACAGAAGAAGCACCGGCUAACUCCGUGCCAGCAGCCGCGGUAAUACGGAGGGUGCGAGCGUUAAUCGGAAUUACUGGGCGUAAAGGGCACGCAGGCGGUUAAUUAAGUUGGAUGUGAAAUCCCCGGGCUUAACCUGGGAAUGGCAUUCAAGACUGGUUAGCUAGAGUCUUGUAGAGGGGGGUUAGAAUUCCAUGUGUAGCGGUGAAAUGCGUAGAGAUGUGGAGGAAUACCGGUGGCGAAGGCGGCCCCUGGACAAGACUGACGCUCAUGUGCGAAAGCGUGGGGAGCAAACGAGGAUUAGAUACCCGU
rnacentral:rRNA from 1 species